AUGGUGGCUGCCAUGGUUGCCGUGGUUGUGGUGGCGGCGGUGUGCUUGCGGCUGCCGGCGGUGGCUCGCGGGCAGCUCCAGGUGGGCUUCUACAACACGAGCUGCCCCAACGCGGAGUCGCUGGUCCAGCAGGCCGUCGCCAGCGCCUUCGCCAACGACUCCGGCGUCGCCGCCGGCCUCAUCCGCCUCCAUUUCCAUGACUGCUUUGUCCGGGGAUGUGACGCCUCCGUGCUGCUGGUGUCCGCCAACGGCACGGCCGAGCGCGACGCGGCCCCGAACAAGCCGAGCCUCCGGGGAUUCGAGGUGAUCGACGCCGCCAAGGCCGCCGUGGAGAAGAGCUGCGCGCGCACCGUCUCCUGCGCCGACAUCGUGGCCUUCGCCGCGCGCGACAGCAUCAACCUCACCGGGCAGGCCGCGUACCAGGUCCCCUCGGGCCGGCGCGACGGCAACUUCUCCCUCGACCAGGACGCGCUCAACAACCUGCCCCCGCCCACGUUCACGGCGCAGCAGCUCGUCGACCGCUUCGCCAACAAGACCCUCACCGCCGAGGAGAUGGUCAUCCUCUCCGGCGCCCACACCGUGGGCCGCUCCUUCUGCAGCUCCUUCCUCGCCCGCAUCUGGAACAACACCACCGCCACCGUGGACACGGGGCUGAGCCCGGCGUACGCGGCGCUGCUGCAGGCGCUGUGCCCGUCGAGUCCGAACGCGGCCACGACGACGGCGGUCGACCCGACCACGCCCGCGGUGCUGGACAACAACUACUACAAGCUCCUGUCGCUCAACCUCGGCCUCUUCUUCUCCGACAACCAGCUGCGGACCAACGCGACGCUCAACACGUCCGUGAACAGCUUCGCGGCGAACGAGACGCUGUGGAAGCAGAAGUUCGUGGCGGCCAUGGUGAAGAUGGGGAACAUCGAGGUGCUCACGGGCACCCAGGGGGAGAUCCGGCUCAACUGCAGCGUCGUCAACAACCGGUCGUCGGUGGCAGCCCCCGAGAUUCACCACUACUACUCGGGAUCCACCGCCUCCAUCAAGGAGAUCGCGACCAGCUGA
rnacentral:rRNA from 1 species